GACAGACUGAAAAGAGAGCUCUUGAACAUUGCAGGAGCGUCACAACAUGGCAUAAUCUUGAGAUCAGCCACACAAAGUGAAACUCCUCGGCCCUUUCCUGCAACUUCUUUGGUGAGUUUCUCUUCUAUUCCUCUAAGCUUGACUCUCUUUUAGUUCUCAUUCAACAGCACCUCAGGUGCUUCUAAUGCCGAGGCCCUUCAACACAGUCUUUCAUGCUAUGGUGGUGAUGCCCGGUCAUAAAAUUAUUUUAGUUGGUAUGUUAUAACUUUAAUAUUGCUGCUGUUAUAAAUCAUAAUAUACAUAACUGAUAUGCAGGAUAGCUAUGGGACCUCGAGGGGGUCGAGACUCACAGGUUGAGAACCUACUCAUCUAGCAUCGCGUGAAAGAAGAUUAAUCAUAUUUUUGCAUGGUUCUUACAUGAAUAAAAUUACUAAUGGUCACUCUGUUCUAUGUUUCUAUUAUAGUAGAUCCACUACCUGAAUGUACUGCUGCCUAUCCUCCCUUCUUUCCUUCCUUCCUUCCUUCCUUCCUUCCUUCCUUCCUUCCUUCCUUCCUUCCUCCCUCCCUCCCUCCUUCCUUCCCUCCCU
rnacentral:lncRNA from 1 species